rnacentral:misc_RNA from 1 species
GAUGAAGAACGUAGCGAAAUGCGAUAAGUAAUGUGAAUUGCAGAAUUCAGUGAAUCAUCGAAUCUUUGAACGCACCUUGCGCUCCUUGGUAUUCCGAGGAGCAUGCCUGUUUGAGUGUCAUUAAAUUCUCAACUACACUGACUUUGAAUUGGUGUGGCUUGGAUUUGGGGGGAAAAUUGUUGUGGGCUUUUUGUAUAGUCUGCUCCCCUGAAAUUGAUUAGCGGUACCUUUGUGGAACUGUCUACAGGUGUGAUAAUUAUCUACAUCUUAGACAUCUGCUGGAAUGCUGCUUUCUAAACCUUACUUGUAUUGACAAUCUUGACCUCAAAUCAGGUAGGACUACCCGCUGAACUUAAGCAUUUCAAUAAGCGGAGGA